AAACGAUUCCCCUGAGGUCCUCCAGCCAACGGCAAACUUCCUUUAGUUCUCCUAGCUACAGUCCCACAGACUCACCAUGCGUGCAGAGCCUGUAAACAGCUGGGACUCAGCCACCUGGCCCCAGUGUCUGCCCCCCACGACCCAAGCACUGACGGAGGGAACGCCACAAGACCUCUGCCUUCCCAAAAACAAUCGAGACCCUUUACAGCCUAAAUAAAAGACUCACAGACAGACACGUGUGAAGACGAGCUCUGAUGGAUGAGAAUCACCCCACACCACUCAGUGGUGACAAGGUGACAGCUGUAAACAUGUGAAACCCCUGUGUGUGCUCUUUGAAACAGUCCGUGUUUUCUCACUCUGGGGGAGGUGACACAAAAAUGAUUGCCACCUCAGCACGUGACACACAGGUGACGGUUUAGCACUGGUAUGCUGUAGCAACACCUCUCACACAUGAAACAGAGCUUUUAUCACAACUGGUCUUCGUAUAUACACCAGUCUAAAACAUUAAUCUGUCUUCUGUAUUCCUUCUGGGAGAGUCACAAACUUAAUGAGGAUUGACUCUGACAUAGUAGUGACCACUACUUCCUGCCUGGGGAGGUUUGGAGAGAGGGUUUCUCCAUAUACAAUACAAACAGGAAAUGCCUAAUGCAAUGUUCACAUGCUGUGCCAAGGCCGGAAGAGGGCUUAUAAAGACUUUCUAAUACGUCUGACUUUAUAGAUGGAAACCAAAUAAUCUUUAGACCUAAGCAGCCCUGUACACUUUUCUUUAUCUUCAUGGUCAAAAGCCAACUUUAUGUCAAAUAAAAUAUUACCCUUUACUCCUGUAUCCACACAUUCAAUAAAACACAACAACCUCUGAUUAAUUCAGCAGCAUCCUUUCCCUUGUGGAUUAAAACAACUGCUGACAGUUUGUAGAAGUGAACAACUGUCAAGAUAAAAAUAACAACAAAAAUAAAAGCGAAACCUAUCAGUUCUCUUGGCUAAGCUCUUCUUUCUUUUUUUAUUUGCCUGCUAUUGUUCCACCCAGGCUCAGAAAAGGUGUAGUACAUGCAUCGUGUGCUGCCCUGGCGCAUUAUGUUAGAUGCCAACAGGGUUCGGUGCGACAACCAUCAAGUUCGUGCGGAGGCUCAAACUCCAAUAGAAAAGCUGUACAGUGCUUUCCAUCUCUGUUUAAAACCCUUAAUCUCAUUACACAACUCCAGCAUUUGCAUAUCAAAACAGCUCUAGUGAACUAAAGUAUGAAUAUGACAUCUGAACCAAAUGAAAGACAAACACAGUAAAAUUGUGAGAAACUACAACAGCAACAACUGGCUUAAAUGGGAAGACUUUUGCUGGUGAUGGCUGAGGGUUGAACAGACCAAGAGAGAAUAGUGUGAGCAUGUGUAAAUGAGAAGGGGUGGGGAUUAGUCGUGGGAGAGUGCAGCAAGGGAAUGAGCGGGAAGGCUAGAAUUCCUCAGGGCUCAUUUAGGGGCCUUUGUGGCAUUGUGGGGGAGCCUAACACAAUGCAUGACUGUGCCAUCGUCAGGGAAACGCCUCUGUCAACGACAGCCAUUGAGAUCAAGAAAGGGGAAGAUAACGACCCAUCUUCCACCUCUAGUCAUUCGGGCUCUUACGUAACACUAAACAGGCCUGGACCUCAUUUGAACAACAAUCAAAGUUGUUUAAAAAGGGUGUGUUGCCUGCUGGUAGCCUGCUGGUCAGGUGUUUACUGAACAUUAGCUGCAGGAGGGGAUUAUGCACAGCAAUUUAUCACAGUUGUUAGAAAGACAUUAUAAUCAUCAUUGGGAGUGUAAGAGCUCUCUAGAUUUAUUAGAAUCUACCAGUGUUUGCAAACAGGGAAUUUCCAUUUCAGCUACGUCAUGGGCACAAAAGAUAGCUGCAUGCGACGCAUGUUAACACAUGAAUAGCAUACUGAAUGCAUUUGAAAGCCUUUCCAUCAGUUAGCAGGUGAGACUUACAAGAAGACAGAGAUAUGUAAAAUAACACAAGGUUAUUUUAUUCUGCCUUUGUGAAAACAACUGCAUAAUCUGACCUGGGAAACAAAUCAGCAAAUUUGAAUAAGUGUAAGCAGCUCUUUUGCCUCCCCCAUAUACACAGUCCAAGACACCCCUGUCACGUUUCUGAAUACUAACAUUUGUCCCUGUGAUCUUCUGUGCUGCUACGGGAACACGGCUGUCAGGAGAUCCAUUUCUCUUUUCUUUUAAACAUAGACUAACAGUUGUUGGAAAAGCCAUCAGCUGAGUCAUUUUGCCGGAUAUGGAUUUGGAAGUUCUUAUAUUCCUCCUGAGAAUAGUGGGGGUCUGAAAAGCACGGGUUAUUAUUAACAUUGGCUGGACAGGAAGAGGAAAUGAGGUCGCACAGGCCAAGCUUCUGCUACACAAACACCUCGGAGCACAGACCAAUGGGAUCACUGCGAUCUGCGUGGAGGAAGGAAACUAAAAAGACAAAGAUUCGCAGAGGACAAUGCUGUAUCCACUACGUCAGGGUUCAAAGCUCAUUCUACGUCCCGCUUGUGAAUAGUCCAUCAUAUAAAAAAAUAAUUAAAUUAACACACAUGAAGAGCAAAGCUUUAAGCAUUUCACUUCCUACAAGAUACCUUCAGAGAGCCCAGUUGUCCUGAAACAGCUGAAGUGACACACGUCCCUACUAUGAACCAAGACGCCUACCAGCUGUGUCCGUCUGUGGCUCUCGAAGCCUGAACUAAUGGGGAGUGCCGGGAUAGGUCAAAGGACAACCACUAGAUUCGUUCUGAGGGGAAAGUGUAAGGCCAAACCCAAGUAAAUUCCAGAGAGACUCGCCCCAGGAAUUUGAAAGUAUAUCUGCGACUCCUUUUCUGAGGAGGAGUCAAAUUAUAGCACAGCGUGUAUGACAUUAUUAAAACAGCUGCCUGUUCACACAUCUAAACACACACACAGACCCUUUCAUAGUCAGUCUCUAACAGUAAAAGAUCAGAGUGAUAAAAUAAAGUACUAUAGUGGAAACUCUUUAAGCAAAAAACCCAACAACCCAUCUUUGAUAUUUCAAGUCAUCUGAGAAUCUGAGAUAGUCAGAAUUAUGCCUGAAGCAGCUCACAUGUGCUGCCUUGAGUUCUUUAUGAAAACAGUCAAAAUAUACCAUCACAGAACCCGAGAGGAAAGUUAACAUUAAAAGGAAGGCUUCAAUGAUAUCUCAAACAGAGCAAGAGAGACUUUUGAAUAAACUGUGUCAGCGAGACACACAAGACUAGCACUGUGAUUUAGUUCAAGAAAGCCAUAAACGUAUGGAAAACACAGAAGGAAACCGUAAGAGAACGAGCGUAGAAUAAAACUAAACAAGCACCCUGUCGAUGCUAACCAGACCAAAGUACAGGAUUACAAGUUCAACCUUUUUCCCCACAGUAUUACUUUUAUGUAGAUGUGGGAAAAAAAGAGAGAAAACCUUUAUUGUUACAGGCAGACUUACAACACCAUCUGCAAAAAUCUUUAAAAAAAAAAAAAGAGCUUACCACACCACGAGUGUAGAGAUGAAACAAGUCUGUCCAGUAUGUAUGUUGUGGCUACAUCCUCACAGUGGCAGGAGAUGAAAAGCAUAAGGAGCUUCUGCUCUGGCAGUCAACAGGCACACAAUGUGUGACUCAUUAAAAAACUUAAAAACGUUAUCGACCCUAUAAGACGUCUCCUCAUUUCCUAAAUAAACCCACUGGUGAUUUCUCCCACAUGAUUCACUGCCAGUGAGUCACAACUAUAUGAGGGGAAGCCGGUUGUGCUUUUAGCCUUUUUAUGCUUUUUGCUUUUGAGUGUGUGGUUAAUUUUGAAAAAAUCCCUUUCAACAAAUUCCCAACACAAAGUGAAAGAGAAAUUUAAAGAAAACGUUUCCAGUUCCGUUUUUCACUUCUCGUCAGUUCAUGGGGAAUAUUUUUAAAAGUUGGUCCCCUGGCUUCCUGAAAAUAAAUCAGACUACAAGAAACCCAACAUCCCUUUAAGUAAAGUCAGUGCACACUCGUAAAAGCAGCUGUGCCGACUCCUCUUUGAUGUGUAGAAGCUUUGGUAUAAGCUUGAACAUAACUGCGUACACUCUGGUACUCAGAUAGAAAAUGGCAUUUUUCUGCAUCUUCACAAAUCCAAAGCAAGGAAAGGCGACUUUUAAGUGUCUAAUGUCAACGUGACAUGCUUUGACUGAAUUGCUGGUGCACCGCUAUAUCAUUACAGGGCUAAAUGAGAGGGCACAUUCAAGUUAUUGGGCGUUCUUCUCUAGUCAGCAUACCUACACUUCCAGCUCAGAGAAAGCGUUCAGUUGACUGAGGGGAUAGCGGGGUUUUAAGAGAAAGCCUUUGUUCCUAUUAGUGGUCUAUUAUACACCCCAGGGUGGCACGAGAGGCAAAAGAGUGCUGCGACCCUGAUGUGAACCACCUCGGUUCAUUUCUGGGUUGUCUGGCUGUCACGUGUCCUCUGCAGACUUAUAACAUCUUCCCAACCUCAGCAGGUCUCCUCCAUGGAGGGAGCCCACACACAUACACUCAGGUCGCACACACUUUCUAGAGUCAAAUCUCCCACACAUGUUACCUGGUUAAUGACAGCACAGACCUGCACAUGCAUUAAACAGCUAAGUGAAAUUCAAGACAGAUGUUUUAAGCCAUCUGGUAUAUGACACCUUUGUCUGCUGCAUCAUGAAAAGAGAUCAGUUAGUCACGCCUUCCUGGCCAUAACUGAAAGUAGUUGGCAUGUUUAUCUCUGAAGAGCUCGGUACUUCCCAGAUGAGCUCUAGACUAAAACACUUUUAAAAAAAAUUCCCAUGACAUGUGAUAAGACUCGGCCAAUGAGUAACAAAUUGGGCACGCAGGUAGUUAGUUCAUGUGCUUUCACUUCCUAUGAUCACAAACUAAGAAAAAUACAGAUAUGAGCCACACAGUAAGAGGAAACUGCAUCUAUCAGGCUGGAAUAAUAUUAUAGUACAGGGUGUGUUGUUUGAAAACUUUGGAAACUAUUUUGAACAGAUUUAUUAAUAGCUUGAAAAAAAAGCCCACCAGCAGUGGAAAAACUGGAACAGACCCAUCUCUGCAAUGUAUAGCAUUGUUUUCAAAGGUCAGAAGUGAAUAAAAACCCUCUGAAAAAGAAGAAAACUAUGAUGCAAAAACAGACUUAACGCAAUGAACGCAACGUCUUAGGAAAGUGACAAGUUGUGACAGGAAGGAGAAUGGCAAGAAAGGGAGAAAA